rnacentral:rRNA from 3 species
GAAUGCUGACAUAAGUAACGAUAAAGCGGGUGAAAAGCCCGCUCGCCGGAAGACCAAGGGUUCCUGUCCAACGUUAAUCGGGGCAGGGUGAGUCGACCCCUAAGGCGAGGCCGAAAGGCGUAGUCGAUGGGAAACGGGUUAAUAUUCCCGUACUUGGUGUUACUGCGAAGGGGGGACGGAGAAGGCUAUGUUGGCCGGGCGACGGUUGUCCCGGUUUAAGCGUGUAGGUGUGUGUUCCAGGUAAAUCCGGUUCACUUUAACACUGAGGCGUGAUGACGAGGCACUACGGUGCUGAAGUAACAAAUGCCCUGCUUCCAGGAAAAGCCUCUAAGCAUCAGGUAACAUCAAAUCGUACCCCAAACCGACACAGGUGGUCAGGUAGAGAAUACCAAGGCGCUUGAGAGAACUCGGGUGAAGGAACUAGGCAAAAUGGUGCCGUAACUUCGGGAGAAGGCACGCUGACACGUAGGUGAAGUGAUUUACUCACGGAGCUGAA